rnacentral:rRNA from 1 species
CAGUCACUUGUAGCAAUACAUGGUGGCGACGGCGCAAGGGUGCGUAACGCGUGAGCACAUGCCGUAUCAGGGGGAUAAUCCAGGGAAACUUGGUCUAAUACCCCAUAGCAAUUAUUUGAGGCAUCUUAAAUAUUUAAAGCUUUGGUGGAUACGGAUUGGCUCGCGUGACAUUAGCUAGAUGGUAAGGUAACGGCUUACCAUGGCUACGAUGUCUAGGGGUUCUGAGAGGAAGAUCCCCCACACUGGAACUGAGACACGGUCCAGACUCCUACGGGAGGCAGCAGUGAGGAAUAUUGGACAAUGGAUGGAAAUCUGAUCCAGCCAUGCCGCGUGCAGGAAGACGGCCCUAUGGGUUGUAAACUGCUUUUGUGUGGGAGCAAUAAGGUCUAUGCGUAGACUGAUGAGAGUACCAUACGAAUAAGCAUCGGCUAACUCCGUG